GGAAGGCAAGGCAAGGCAAGGCAUGGAAGGGAAUGGAAUCCAUGCUAAACAUCAGGAGAAGCAUAAAGCAAUUAGAUAUAUGUUCAUAAAAAGUAUUCACCAUUGUGAUAAAGGGGAUGGAAUGCAGAGUCCAGGUUGAGAAGGGAUUCCUAAUGAAUACUGAUGAACCUUGUUUUCAGAUGACGUUGUUCUGAGUGCAUGCCUCUUGGAAAAGAUCUACAAUCACUCCCAGAAGUCUAGCUAAUCCAUCCACACAGGAAAGACCAAAUGGAUGAAGAUAAUGACAGUGUGCGCCCCACAGAGGGAAAUAGAAAGGCCCAUAGUGGGUGCAAGGUCUUUUGAUGUAGCCAGUGAAUAGAAGGAGGCUGCGCUGACUCACUUUGAUUCACAAUCAACUCAAAAACUAAGCCCAGGUUAUUUCAAAAAAUGUAUUCCACUUAAAAGGCAGUUUGUUCUUGAACCAUGAUCUUGUCUUUGCACCCAAUUAGAGCUUCAAUUGCAGGAAUAUUAGUAUUUUCUUUUUUUAAUACCUCCCCCUCACCAACUGUAAGUUCAUCUUGUGGCAGCUUUCCAGAUUGGCAACAGCCUCCAUAUUCCUUUAUUGAAGAUACUGUAGAGAUUUUUGUUCAGAUAGACUAAAUAGCCUCUCAGUCCCCUUCUGAGUCUUAAGACAGUAAUUCUAAGAUAUGAGUUUUGAAAACUCAGAGCUUUUCUGUCCAGCAUAAGAGUGGAGAUUAAUUCUUCUAGCAUCUAUGUAAAAGAUCCCUAUUGUGUCAGACAUUGUGCUUAAGCACUUUACAAAUUUAACUCAUUGGAUCCUUGCAAUAAUCUGGUGAGGAAGAUGCUUUUACAAUCCCCAUUUUAUAGCAAGGGAAACUGAGGCAAAUAGAGGUUAAGUGACUUGCCCAAGGUCACACAAUGGUAAGUAUCUGAGACCAAAUUUGAACUGAGGUCUUCUAGAACUCUGUCCUCUACACCACCUAGAUGCCUCUGAUAGUCAACCUUUCUGAGAUCUGUGCAAAUUGUUAGACCAAGGGAUAGUUAUAUAUUUGGAAGAAGCUCUUCCCCUGACCCCCAAUAAUAUUUGCCUUCAAAAGAACAAAAUUCAAUGUUCUCUCUACACUCAUACCAUACAUAUUAAAAAAAAAGAUAGAAGUUUAGAAUAAUUUCUGUUCAGAUGUUCUUUUCUUUUUUUAGGGAGAAAUACAAAAAAAAAAGAAAUCACUGGAAGCAUCAAGGUCACUAGAGACCCCUUCAUCCCACAACACAUCAUCAUUGAUGAUGAUUCUUGGGAAGUAUGGGAUUUCACCAAAAAUACAAGAAGACCCCAAUGGUGGGUGUGUGAAUUUGUCCAGAACUCUGGAUCUACUGUAGAAAAAAAUAUUCUCCAGCUACUCAGAUUGUCAUGAAUGGGAGAAGGAAAAUGAAGAUGGCUCUGACCUUGUGAGCUUGGAAAGGUGAAGAGAAUAAGCCACAAGAGGUCCAGGAGAUGUUGCAGCCAGCCAACUCAGUAUUAAGGUCUUAAAGCAUACAUGAGACCUUUGGGACACAACCCAUCAGUAACCGAGACUGGACACAUCCAGUAGCCAUAAACUUGGUGGGACCAAUGCUACACAGAAACUGAAUUAAGUCUGAAUAAACUCUCCCAAGAGAUCACAGUGAUACAGGGGAGAAUAU